AGAGUUUGAUCCUGGCUCAGGAUGAACGCUGGCGGCGUGCCUAAUACAUGCAAGUCGAACGAGGUGCUUUUGUAGCAAUACGAGAGUAUCCUAGUGGCGAACGGGUGAGUAACGCGUUGGUGACCUGCCCCAAAGUGUGGAAUAACAGUCUGAAAGGAUUGCUAAUACCACAUGUGGUCAUUGGAUUUAGAAACCGAUGACUAAAGGAGUAAUCCGCUUUGGGAGGGGCCUGCGUCCCAUCAGCUAGUUGGUGAGGUAAUAGCUCACCAAGGCUAAGACGGGUAGGGGACCUGAGAGGGUGGCCCCCCACAAUGGUACUGAAACACGGACCAUACACCUACGGGUGGCAGCAGUAGGGAAUAUUGGACAAUGGGCGAAAGCCUGAUCCAGCAACGCCGCGUGUGCGAUGAAGGCCCUCGGGUCGUAAAGCACUUUUCUGAGGGAAGAGAAAGGACGGUACCUCAGGAAUAAGUCUCGGCUAACUACGUGCCAGCAGCCGCGGUAACACGUAGGAGGCAAACGUUAUCCGGAUUUACUGGGCGUAAAGCGCAUGCAGGCGGUUUGGUAAGUUGGAUGUGAAAGCUCCCGGCUCAACUGGGAGACGUCGUUCAAAACUACCAAACUAGAGGACGGUAGAGGAAGGUGGAAUUCCCGGUGUAGUGGUGAAAUGCGUAGAUAUCGGGAGGAACACCAGUGGCGAAGGCGAUUUUCUGGAUCAUUUCUGACGCUCAGACGCGAAAGCUAGGGUAGCAAACGGGAUUAGAGACCCCGGUAGUCCUAGCCGUAAACGAUGUGAACUUGGCGUUGGUGGCUUAAACACCAUCAGUGCCGUAGCUAACGCGAUAAGUUCACCGCCUGGGGACUACGACCGCAAGGUUAAAACUCAAAGGAAUUGACGGGGGCCCGCACAAGCAGCGGAGCGUGUGGUUUAAUUCGAUGCUACACGAAGAACCUUACCAGGGUUUGACAUAUAAGUGGUAGUGAACCGAAAGGUGACCGACCCGCAAGGGAGCCGCCACAGGUGCUGCAUGGCUGUCGUCAGCUCGUGUCGUGAGAUGUUCGGUUAAGUCCGGUAACGAGCGCAACCCUCGGUGUUAGUUACAAGUGUCUAGCACAACUGCCCGGUCAAACUGGGAGGAAGGUGGGGAUGACGUCAAGUCAGCAUGGCCUUUAUGCCUAGGGCUACACACACGCUACAAUGGUCGGUACAAUAGGUUGCCAAGCCGCGAGGUGGAGCCAAUCCAAUAAAACCGAUCUCAGUUCGGAUUGCAGGCUGCAACUCGCCUGCAUGAAGUCGGAGUUGCUAGUAAACGCAGGUCAGCUAUACUGCGUUGAAUACGUUCCCGGGCCUUGUACACACCGCCCGUCACGUCAUGGAAGCUGGUCACGCCUGAAGCCGGUGGGCUAACCGCAAGGAAGCAACUGCCAAAGGCAGGGCUGGUGACUGGGACGAAGUCGUAACAAGGUAAAGGG
rnacentral:rRNA from 1 species